UGCCCCUGCCAUGUGCAAAAGAACAUCUUGAUGGUUGUGUUGUUUUUAUAUCAGUCAGAGACAGAGAAAAUGGCAAUCCUUUGUUCAUCCUAGCUUGAUCCUUGCCAUGGUGGCCAAAAAUCCUUUAUGUUAAGUAUUCAUAA